AAGUGGGAUGACGUCAAAUCAUCAUGCCCUUAUGUUCUGGGCUACACACGUGCUACAAUGGCCGGUACAGACGGACGCAAAGCCGCGAGGUGGAGCAAAUCCUAAAAAGCCGGUCUCAGUUCGGAUUGCAGGCUGCAAUUCGCCUGCAUGAAGUCGGAAUCGCUAGUAAUCGCAGGUCAGCAUACUGCGGUGAAUACGUUCCCGGGCCUU
rnacentral:rRNA from 1 species